UUUAGGAGGCCACUGGCAAUUGGCAGUUGAUUCUGAUUAGGUUCAGCCCCCUGUACUGUGGGCCUGUUGUGAUCAGGAACAAUGCCGGUCCGGUGGUUAAAGCUUGGAGAACUUUCCAGUUCAUCAGCCCCAUCAUCACCUACAUGCGUGGGGGAUCCCAGCAGGUGGUGGUGAGGAUGCACCACGUGAGUAGGGUGAGAGGCCUGGAGACUCAACUGGUGUGGGCCAUCUCCAAGGAGACAGCCAGGCUUAGUCCAGAGGGCAUCCCCUACUGUGCCACCAAAGUGCAGUCCAUCACUUGG